rnacentral:rRNA from 1 species
AUGAACGCUAGCUACAGGCUUAACACAUGCAAGUCGAGGGGCAGCAUGGUCUUAGCUUGCUAAGGCCGAUGGCGACCGGCGCACGGGUGAGUAACACGUAUCCAACCUGCCGUCUACUCUUGGACAGCCUUCUGAAAGGAAGAUUAAUACAAGAUGGCAUCAUGAGUCCGCAUGUUCACAUGAUUAAAGGUAUUCCGGUAGACGAUGGGGAUGCGUUCCAUUAGAUAGUAGGCGGGGUAACGGCCCACCUAGUCUUCGAUGGAUAGGGGUUCUGAGAGGAAGGUCCCCCACAUUGGAACUGAGACACGGUCCAAACUCCUACGGGAGGCAGCAGUGAGGAAUAUUGGUCAAUGGGCGAGAGCCUGAACCAGCCAAGUAGCGUGAAGGAUGACUGCCCUAUGGGUUGUAAACUUCUUUUAUAAAGGAAUAAAGUCGGGUAUGGAUACCCGUUUGCAUGUACUUUAUGAAUAAGGAUCGGCUAACUCCGUGCCAGCAGCCGCGGUAAUACGGAGGAUCCGAGCGUUAUCCGGAUUUAUUGGGUUUAAAGGGAGCGUAGAUGGAUGUUUAAGUCAGUUGUGAAAGUUUGCGGCUCAACCGUAAAAUUGCAGUUGAUACUGGAUAUCUUGAGUGCAGUUGAGGCAGGCGGAAUUCGUGGUGUAGCGGUGAAAUGCUUAGAUAUCACGAAGAACUCCGAUUGCGAAGGCAGCCUGCUAAGCUGCAACUGACAUUGAGGCUCGAAAGUGUGGGUAUCAAACAGGAUUAGAUACCCUGGUAGUCCACACGGUAAACGAUGAAUACUCGCUGUUUGCGAUAUACAGCAAGCGGCCAAGCGAAAGCGUUAAGUAUUCCACCUGGGGAGUACGCCGGCAACGGUGAAACUCAAAGGAAUUGACGGGGGCCCGCACAAGCGGAGGAACAUGUGGUUUAAUUCGAUGAUACGCGAGGAACCUUAUCCGGGCUUAAAUUGCAGAUGAAUUACGGUGAAAGCCGUAAGCCGCAAGGCAUCUGUGAAGGUGCUGCAUGGUUGUCGUCAGCUCGUGCCGUGAGGUGUCGGCUUAAGUGCCAUAACGAGCGCAACCCUUGUUGUCAGUUACUAACAGGUUCCGCUGAGGACUCUGACAAGACUGCCAUCGUAAGAUGUGAGGAAGGUGGGGAUGACGUCAAAUCAGCACGGCCCUUACGUCCGGGGCUACACACGUGUUACAAUGGGGGGUACAGAGGGCCGCUACCACGCGAGUGGAUGCCAAUCCCCAAAACCUCUCUCAGUUCGGACUGGAGUCUGCAACCCGACUCCACGAAGCUGGAUUCGCUAGUAAUCGCGCAUCAGCCACGGCGCGGUGAAUACGUUCCCGGGCCUUGUACACACCGCCCGUCAAGCCAUGGGAGCCGGGGGUACCUGAAGUGCGUAACCGCGAGGAGCGCCCUAGGGUAAAACUGGUGACUGGGGCU